rnacentral:lncRNA from 11 species
CUCAACUACAGGCCACAAUCUUCUUGUCUGGCAUUGAAAUGACAAUACUGUGCCAUCCCAGAGGAGCAGCUCUGUAGCUGACCGGUCCUUAACUCCAAUCCCUGGCUGC